rnacentral:rRNA from 1 species
GACGAACGCUGACGGCGUGCUUUAGACAUGCAAGUCGAACGAGAAAGCCCUUCGGGGUUAGUAAAGUGGCGAACGGGUGAGUAACACGUGGGCAAUCUGCCCUUCGUUGGGGGACAACCGGGGGAAACCCCGGCUAAUACCCCGUAAGCUUGUCGGGUCGCAUGGCCUGACAAGGAGAGGUAGCUUCGGCCAUCCGGCGAAGGAGGAGCCCGCGGUACAUUAGCUAGUUGGUGAGGUAAAGGCCCACCAAGGCGACGAUGUAUAGCUGGUCUGAGAGGAUGAUCAGCAACACUGGGACUGAGACACGGCCCAGACUCCUACGGGAGGCAGCAGUCGGGAAUCUUCCGCAAUGGACGAAAGUCUGACGGAGCAACGCCGCGUGAGUGAAGAAGGUUUUCGGAUUGUAAAGCUCUGUCUUCAGGGGCGAACGUAUGGUAGGUAAAUAAUCUACUGUAAUGACGGUACCUGAGGAGGAAGCCACGGCUAACUACGUGCCAGCAGCCGCCGUAACAC